rnacentral:lncRNA from 1 species
GAAGCUACUGUUUGAUGGAAAUUGAGAGGAAGCAACGGAUGGAUGCUGCAGUUCCUAUUUCCUCAGGUAUUAUCUUUCCUGUAAGCAUUUGGGGCUUCAGGUUCAGUCAUUGGAGGGUAACUGUGUAUCAUAUGAGGAAUGCGGUGACAGAAGAGCAAGUUUCUUUAAUGGAGGAGCUCACGAUUUUCUUCUUUUAAUAUAAUAUACUAGUCGUUUACUCAUCGUCAAAAAAUAUUAAUGUAUACAAAUUACUAUCUUUGGACUGCACGUCCUAAUAUAAUUUGCCUUUGCUUAAUGUCUACAAUAUAAGGUACUACCUCUUUACCAAAAUAUAAGACGCUUUUGUAGGCUAAACUAGCCUACAAAAGCGUAUUUUUGUACAGAGGGAGUAUGUUUUAGAUGCUCUGAACAACGUGACUGUCUGAUGGUGAUUCAGUUUAGGCUUUAAACUUUGAAAGAUUUCGUUUUAGCCUUUUAGAUAUUCUCUCAGAUGGCGUGAAUGAUUGUGUGCUUGAUAUCUAGGCAUUAUUGAUCUACAUAAUGCUUAUUCUUUAGUGUCCACAUUAACUAGGUUUGGCUAUUUUCUCUUUGAUCCUUUCUGAAGGCGGGUAAGAAAAGAGGACAGAAAAAUGCUUAUUAAUAUGAGUGUUUUUAUUUUGUACAAAUCAUUCGAUUUUUAUAAUGUGAGAUGCAACAGACAAAAAAUGAGAGCACACACCCUCUGGCGGAGCUACGUUGGUAGCUGCAUGGCCCCCUAGCCUGGUUAAAAUAUGUGAAAGUUUUUUGUUUAGAGGAGACGAUUAGGAGAAAUAAAGUCUUUUGGUCCCCCUAAACAUCUCUAUUUUGUAUCCCCCCAUACACACCAAAGGAUCUUACCAAGCUCCACCACUGCAUGAACCUUUUUUUUUUUAUUUGAUGGCGUUCCAUUUUCUUUAGAUAUAUUGGUAGUAUAUCUGGAUUGUUCAUGUCUUGCCCAAUGGCAAUCAUUGUAGGUUUCAUUUUGGCAAAAUCUGCUAAUUAUUAAUGUGCUCUUUACUUUCUGUUUUGGAAACUGUUAUGCAUAUCAAUCCUUUUUUCUCACUCAAAUAUGAUUGAUGGUAGCAGCUAAAAUAUCUAGGGCCCUGUUUGUUUGGGCUUUUGCUUCUGCUUUCGCAGCUUUUUCAUGUUGGCCAAAAAGCCACAAAAGCUCCUACAUAGGUGCUUUUGGAGCCAAAUAUUGUUAUAUUUAUUCAACAAAAGCUCCAAAAGCUCCAAAAGCACCUAUUUAGUAGCUUUUAUGGCUUCUUUGUCAAAAUGGAAAAGCUGCAAAAGCAGAAGCAAAAGCCCAAACAAACAGGGCCUAGGUUUCAACUCACUUUAGUUCCGAAUUGCAUAAUUAAUAUUUAUAUUACAUGGAUGACAAGGUUCUCAACUAAUUUAUGCUUCUAAUAAAAUGGAAAUAAUACUCAUGUAGCUUGAUUAAGGUGGUGUUCUGUUUCCUUAAUUUUAAGAAUUCAUGUGUUGUUUGAUUCCUUGGAACUCAUUCGCAUAGUUAUAUAUCCACAUAAAGAGACUGUAGUGCUAAUGUUGGAUAUGAUCAUGCUUCGCUAAACUUCUGAAGUUGGUGGUUUCUUCUUCAUUUGGAUGCACCCAGUAUCUUAGUGUGUUUAUGGCACUCAGUAUCUUAGUGUGUUUAUGUCACCCAGUAUCUCUUGAUUGCAUUACCACUGUCUGUAGGGCUGUUGGCAUAUAUAGUAGCUUUGAUUGUGAUUAGAGUUUAAUUAUAUGAUAGCCUAUCGGUGCUUUCCUUUAUAUGUUGAUCCUAUGAAAUUAAACUUUUACCUAAUCCUCCGAUCUUUUCUUUUUCGCUGUCCUGCAGGGAUGUGAGGGCUUUAUAAUGCUAAUGAUGUUCCAGCUCAGAGAAGGAAAACUCACAAACAUAAGCCAGGUGACGAUUAUUUUUUAGAACUUUUGACUUAUUUUAAAAAAUGGUUCAAUGAUGUUCCAGCUAGGAGAAGACAAACUCACAUACUAACUAUUUUUGCUAAAUUUUUUCUUUUGCUACUAUUCUUUUUUCACUGAAUAAUGUUAUGCGAUGUUAUUGUUAAUACUGAAUAAACACUGCAACACUCAAUACAUGAUUCUAUCAGGGAGCUGCGAUGGCAAGGUGAAUAAAAAUGUUGGAGCAUGAUGAAUGGUAGGGAAUAGAGGAGCAUGAUGAAGUGUUUGGCUGCUGGCAAUGAAGACUAGCUGGACUUGAAGCUGUAUCAAUCAUGAGGCUAAAUUGUCCAUGCCCCCAGCAUUUAAAUUAUACACAUGUGAUAAAUUUUCUUAUCUUCUACCUCUCUUUGUUAAAUUGUUUGCUUACAUGCUAAUCCCAACCUCUGAUAACUUGUCCUGAACACUAGAGCAUAUAUACUCUGAAUUUUGCUCCAUCUCGCUCCCGAUUGGCUCGCCUCCUCAUCUCGAUCUGUAAUGAACCAUGGGCACCAACUUUCUCCUUACACUUUCGUGACAAUCCAUUUUUGUUAUCCUUUUGAUCAAAUUUUCUCGAUCUGUCAUUAUUGAGACAAAAGGCUAGCUGGACCUAUUAAUGAAAGGUGUACUAAUUUACUUUAUUAUUCUUUGUUUUCUUUUUGUUUCGUGGCUCUCUCUCUCUCUCUCUCUCUCUACAUCUACAUAUAUUACACCAGCUGGUCUAGGUAGAGGGGCAAUGGCCACAAAAUUUUACUGAAAUAACCAUGCGAGCUUACCAUCUAACAAGAUUCUCAUAGGAGUACAGAAUGUGGGUAUAUAUAUAUAAAUAUUAUAACAUUGCUGUUAGAUAUGUUUACUCAGAUGGUCCAAGAACUGAAUGAACUAUUGAAACAAAGUACCUCUCUGUUGCUUUAAAAAUUGUACAGUCAGCAUGCUAAUAUUAUGAUUAUAUUAUCUUCUCUACUUAAACUUUGUUUGGUGGCUGAGCUAGCGAAGGUUGGGAUUUUGAUUUCUAAUGUGCAUAUCUUGCUUUUCCUAAAGCUCAACCCUUGGUCGAGCUGGUCGUUGUUUGUUUGCUUUUGUUUCUGUCUCAUCUCACAUAUCACAGGUUGCAACUUGAAAGUGUGAGUACUAUCUUUGAGCAUACUGCUGUAAGUUGCAACCCAAAACUGCAUUUGUAUUGCGUUGUGGCAUGACCAUUGGAUGGUGGAUUAGCAUCAGUGCCUAACUAUGUCCCUGGGAUGUAUACUUUGGAUUGCGGAGUUCAGUUUUGUAAUCUCAGUAAAUGUAUAAAAUAUGUAGAUGCAAUAUUUUUAUUUGUGUAAGAUAACUAGCAUGCAUCUCAUAUAUGCUUGCAUCUGUGUAUAUCCUGUGUCGUAGUACAAGUUAAAGGAAACCUUUCACUGACUUUUUUCUUGCGUUAUAAGACUGACCAUUUCGAUCCAGCCAACGACAAAUUUGGCUAUUUUAGUAGUAAAAUUAAAUUAUUUGUGCGUUCAUUGUAGGGAGGCUGGCGAGGAAUGUGCUCCAUACCAGCAAGGUGCUGCUCAAUGGCAAGAAGAGGCGGCUCAAUUUUGGCGCAGUGGUGAGGUAUCUCCUGCAACCAAACUUAUCAUGAGCUGCAUACUCAUUUUCUCAAUCAAGAUGUCAAGAAAAUGAAAUUUCAGUACUAUGCUUAUGAUUUCUUUAAUCGCUUGAAGGAUUUUUCAGGCGCUCAUCGAUUGAUUUGGAGGUUGAGGGCACUCUUUCUUUACAAAAAAAACUAACACCAACUAACAACCCAUGUUCCUUUUGAUUCCCUCUAAUUUUUUAGUCAUACUUAAUUCACGACACCCUGUGCAAUUUGUAUCAGGCAUAUUAAUUUUUGUGUUCCCCGUCUUCUAACAAAUCAUAGUUUUAUGAUGUUGAAGAUAAAUGCAUUUAUAAAAUGCUCUCUUCUUGAGAUUAUGUGUAAAUGUUCCUUUUGUAGGAAUGCCUUGCUCUAAGAAUUAUGUAGUAUCCUUUCUACUUGGUAAAUGUCAGCAGAUGCACUGCUCAAGCCUUGCUCACCUUGCAUAAAAAUGCCAUCCUUUAAUUAUUUUGUGUUUGUCCUUAUGGCUUGGUGAAUGUAAAUCUCAGUGAUGCGUUACUACUAUAUAUAUAUUCUCCUUUAAAAUUGUACAUGCCCUGUUUAUCAUCACCACUCUCUCUGCGAUAUACCUUUGAAUGUCCACAUAUAAUUGCUUUCCCAUUCCCAACAUCUAGGAUACAUAGAUGGGGAUGACAUUGCUCAAAGGCGGACGCACGUGGCCGUGUUGAAGGAGUUGUGGCCUCUGUCUCUUCCUUAAAUGUCGGUGAUGGCUCUCUGUGCUAGCUCUCCCAUGUCCUCUUUACUUUGUUUGUUCAGUGAAUGUUGGAUUAGACAAGAAUGAUUUAUUCACGCUGGAUUUGUACAACUAUAAACUAUUUGUGCAAUCUUGUAUUUAACUUUGAAAUGAGAGGAUGAAAUGUUG